rnacentral:rRNA from 1 species
CCCUUAGAUGUCCUGGGCUGCACGCGCGCUACACUGAUGUGUCCAGUAAGCACCUAACCUCUUCCGAAAGGAACGGGUAACCUUUGCAAAGCACAUCGUGAUGGGGAUAGAUUAUUGCAAUUAUUAGUCUUGAACGAGGAAUUCCUAGUAAGCACAAGUCAUCAGCUUGCGUUGAUUACGUCCCUGCCCUUUGUACACACCGCCCGUCGCUCCUACCGAUUGAAUGUUCCGGUGAGCUCUUCGGACUGCGCGGUCUGCAGUUUCUGCGUUCCGUGCGGAAAGUUGCGCAAACCUUAACAUUUAGAGGAAGGAGAAGUCGUAACA